UGGUCCCGUGGCAGACGGGUGCGUAACGCGUGGGAACUUGCCUGGUAGUAGGGAAUAACCAGUGGAAACAUUGGGCAACACCCUAUACGCCCUGAGGGGGAAAAUUUAUUGCUAUCAGAUAGGCCCGCGUUAGAUUAGCUAGUUGGUGAGGUAAUGGCCUACCAAGGCGACGAUCUAUAGCUGGUCUGAGAGGAUGAUCAGCCACACUGGAACUGAGACACGGUCCAGACUCCUACGGGAGGCAGCAGUGAGGAAUAUUGGACAAUGGGCGAAAGCCUGAUCCAGCCAUACCGCAUGAGUGACGAAGGCCCUUGGGUUGUAAAGCUCUUUUA
rnacentral:rRNA from 1 species